rnacentral:rRNA from 1 species
GACGAACGCUGGCGGCGUGCUUAACACAUGCAAGUCGAACGGAAAGGCCCUGCUUUUGUGGGGUGCUCGAGUGGCGAACGGGUGAGUAACACGUGAGUAACCUGCCCUUGACUUUGGGAUAACUUCAGGAAACUGGGGCUAAUACCGGAUAGGAGCUCCUGCUGCAUGGUGGGGGUUGGAAAGUUUCGGCGGUUGGGGAUGGACUCGCGGCUUAUCAGCUUGUUGGUGGGGUAGUGGCUUACCAAGGCUUUGACGGGUAGCCGGCCUGAGAGGGUGACCGGCCACAUUGGGACUGGGAUACGGCCCAGACGCCUACGGGAGGCAGCAGUGGGGAAUAGUGCACAAUGGGCGGAAGCCUGAUGCAGCAACGCCGCGUGCGGGAGGACGGCCUUCGGGUUGUAAACCGCUUUCGCCUGUGACGAAGCGUGAGUGACGGUAAUGGGUAAAGAAGCACCGGCUAACUACGU